rnacentral:tRNA from 1 species
AGUGCUUUUCUUGACAGGGUUAGUGUUUCCCCUGAAAGGAAAUCAAGGCUUGUUCGUGUAAGCUUUGAGAGUUCAGACCCUGAGCUCUC